rfam:Salmo salar isolate Sally breed double haploid chromosome ssa26, whole genome shotgun sequence.
GACCUCUUGGCGCAACGGUAGCGCGUCUGACUCCAGAUCAGAAGGUUACUUGUUCAAAUCACCUCAUGGUCA